rnacentral:rRNA from 1 species
GACGGAGGAUGCAAGUGUUAUCCGGAAUCACUGGGCGUAAAGCGUCUGUAGGUGGUUUAAUAAGUCAACUGUUAAAUCUUGAGGCUCAACCUCAAAAUCGCAGUCGAAACUAUUAGGCUAGAGUAUAGUAGGGGUAAAGGGAAUUUCCAGUGGAGCGGUGGAAAUGCGUAGAGAUUGGAAAGAACACCGAUGGCGAAGGCACUUUACUGGGCUAUUACUAACACUCAGAGACGAAAGCUAGGGUAGCAAACAGGG